ensembl:lncRNA
CAUAUUUAAACACAGUUUACAAACUGUCUUCUUGCUUCCAGUUCUUCAGAAACUUUAUGAAAAUCUUCAGAAAUUCAACCACCUCUUCAUUUUUUAAAAAAGAUUUUCUUCUUGUCUUUGAUAUCCCUAAAUUUCCUGCCGAUGUGAAUGUCCUGAGGUGUCUACAUGGAUGGGAUGCCGGUGGUCCAUGUUUUGGGGCCAGCAGCCCGUGUUUUAAAAGCUCUCCUGGUGAUUCUGCUGCAGGUCAGUUGUGGAAGUCUCCAGCAUGCAGUGUUAUGAUCGGACAUCUGCAUGCACUGAGAACACACAUCACUGCCAUUGAGUUACUCUCUGUCAUGAAACAGUUUUUGCAAGCGCUUCUGCAGCUUGUUCAGGAAGUUCUGGCCUGCGGGAAUGCGCUCCCCAUCGAGAGGCUUGGUUGGGUGUUGUCCUCCACUGCACCUGUGCCACGGGGCUGGGGGCUCUCUACCCCUCAGCAUGGAGCCCCACCCCAACUCUCCUGGCAGGUGUAACUUGAGAGGUGAUUGGAAGGCCAGGGGUGUUAUGAGCUGACUUUUCUCGGUAGGUGGAACCGAGGCUGUGACUUACUUCACAUCAUGGGAAAUGUGCCUUCUCUCCCAAAGUGGUGAACACAGUGAGGCAUCGUGGGGACAGGAGGGGUCAGGAAAGCCCAGAGAGACCCAGUCACAAAGGUUCCCUGGGUGUCAGGGACGUGCCAGACGCAGCCUCCAGCCAGCUGCCCCGUGAAUGGCAGCAGGAGCCUCCCUGCUCCAUGUGCAUCAGAAUAGAGAC